rnacentral:sRNA from 2 species
AAAACAAAGUGUGUUACACUAAAAACCAGUCCUCUCUAAUCUCAGACUGCCUGCAGCCAUGAUUUUGUCACUGACAUCUGUGAGCCAAAGACUGAGCCUUUUUGGCAGGAAUAAUAAGCAAUACUACACAACUUGCUACUUUCAGAAAACUUUUUUUUAGCUUCACCGAUGACAACAGAGGAAGAAGGGAACUGGGAUUUGGGUAAGUUCUCCUCCACUGUUUGACCAAAUUCUCAGUGAUAAAUAUGUGUGCAGAUCCCUAGAAGAAAAAACGUUGACUUUCUUUUUAAGUGUGGCACAUAAGGAUCUGCAGAAUUUUCCGUAGACAAAGAAAGGAUCUUGUGUAUUUUUGUCCAUAUCCAAUGUUAUAUGAACUAAUUGUAUUGUUUUAUACUGUGACCACAAAUAUUAUGCAAUGCACCAUUUGUUUUUUAUUUCAUUAAAGGAAGUUUAAUUU